CCUACGGGGGGCAGCAGUGAGGAAUAUUGGUCAAUGGACGAGAGUCUGAACCAGCCAAGUAGCGUGAAGGAUGACUGCCCUAUGGGUUGUAAACUUCUUUUAUAUGGGAAUAAAACGUUCCACGUGUGGGAUUUUGUAUGUACCAUAUGAAUAAGGAUCGGCUAACUCCGCGCCAGCAGCCGCGGUAAUACGGAGGAUCCGAGCGUUAUCCGGAUUUAUUGGGUUUAAAGGGAGCGUAGGUGGAUUGUUAAGUAAGUUGUGAAAGUUUGCGGCUCAACCGUAAAAUUGCAGUUGAAACUGGCAGUCUUGAGUACAGUAGAGGUGGGCGGAAUUCGUGGUGUAGCGGUGAAAUGCUUAGAUAUCACGAAGAACUCCGAUUGCGAAGGCAGUUCACUGGACUGCAACUGACACUGAGGCUCGAAAGUGUGGGUAUCAAACAGGAUUAGAUACCCCUGUAGUC
rnacentral:rRNA from 1 species